rnacentral:rRNA from 1 species
CCCUGGCUCAGGACGAACGCUGGCGGCGUGCCUAAUACAUGCAAGUCGAGCGGAGUAUGAAUGGAAGCUUGCUUUCAUUCUUGCUUAGCGGCGGACGGGUGAGUAACACGUAGGCAACCUGCCCUCAAGACUGGGAUAACUACCGGAAACGGUAGCUAAUACCGGAUAAUUUCUUUGUUCUCCUGAAGAGAGAAUGAAAGGCGGAGUAAUCUGCCACUUGGGGAUGGGCCUGCGGCGCAUUAGCUAGUUGGUGGGGUAACGGCUCACCAAGGCGACGAUGCGUAGCCGACCUGAGAGGGUGAACGGCCACACUGGGACUGAGACACGGCCCAGACUCCUACGGGAGGCAGCAGUAGGGAAUCUUCCGCAAUGGGCGAAAGCCUGACGGAGCAACGCCGCGUGAGUGAUGAAGGUUUUCGGAUCGUAAAGCUCUGUUGCCAGGGAAGAACGUCCGGUAGAGUAACUGCUACCGGAGUGACGGUACCUGAGAAGAAAGCCCCG